rnacentral:snRNA from 1 species
GUGCUCGCUUCGGCAGCAUGUAUACUAAAAUUGGAACGAUACAGAGAAGAUUAGCGUGGCCCCUGCUCAAGGAUGACACGCAAGUGGGUGAAAUGUUCCAUAUUAAA